AAAUGAACGAAUCUCUUGAAAGAAUCAUAAUUUCCACCACACCAGCGUGUGAGCAGGACUUUUAUCUUGGCGUGGUGAUGUGACGUCAUGAGGAUGCUCCGCGCUCCUGCAUCUGCUGUGAUUCAACUCAAGAAAGGUUUUGUUUUAAAGCGUUUAACGUGUAGAAACUGUUAAACUUGAAAGUUUUACGAGCGAUACAGGGUUUUAUUAACUGCAACAUAUUAAUGUUUUAUUUGAAAGUGAUUUGUGUGAGUAAAGCGCAUCGAUCCACACGCGAGUAACGUAAACACAAAAGAACAGAAACAGUUCCACGUGACACGCUUAUAAAGAUGGCGUUUGUUAAAGAGCAGAGUGAAGACAUCAAGAUUGAAGAAGUCUUCAGUCUGAAACAAGAUCCUGAGGAAAAGCCAGAACUCCCUCUGUGAUUGGACAGUCAUCUCAGGUUUCCAGUGAGCAAGGCUGCCCGACCG